AUAUAUAUAUAGUUCAGUGUUUCAUUCUGUUUCGUUCAGGGUCGGUUGUUCCAACUUCUUGGUGGUUGAAGAAUGGUCGCGAAAUUACACUAGGCUGGAGCGUCGCGACGUCAGUCACACGCACUGGAUCAUUGUGUUUUCCUUCUGCAGAGACACUACCUUCGUCGUGCAGAGUCUAACGGCCAGGAAUACCUCUUCCGGGUAAUGGCGGCCAACGACAACGGCAUAGAUCCGUCGUUCGAGGGUGCCAAUCUGAUCAGGACAAAGGCGCCGUUCGAUCCGCCAGGACCGCCGGGCACGCCCAAAGUCACCGAGGUUGGCGGCGACUUUGUUAAUCUCUCGUGAGAGAAACCGGAAAUAAACGGCGGCGUCAAAAUCUUGGGUUACUGGAUCGACAAACGUGAGGUCGGCAGUCAGGCCUGGCAGCGCGUAAACGCUAGUAUCUGCCGACGCAGAUCAAUAUCAGCAAUCUGAUCGAGGGCAGGCAGUACGAGUUCCGAGUGUUCACGCAGAACUCAGCUGGGCUCGGUCCGGAAUUGAAGGCCUCGACUUCCGUGAAGAUCGUUGAUCCGCAGGCGGCGAAGCCUCCGGAGAUCAUUCAACCUCUCAACAAGGUGAAUUGCGUCCAGAAUCACAAUGCACACUUCCAGUGCAAGAUCAUCGGCACGCCGAGACCAACCAUCACGUGGUUCAAAGGCGCCCGUGAAAUCGUGAGCGGCAGUCGCUACAACAUUUAUUCCGAGGGCGACACUCACAAUCUUAUCAUCCACGACGUGUUCGGCGAAAACGCUGACGAGUACUUCUGCCGCGCGGUGAACAAGUGUGGCGUGAAGUCCACGAAGGGCGAACUCUUCAUCAAGACGCUACUAAAACUGAACGUGCCGCCACAAUUCCGUGACACCGCCUUCUUCGACAAGAGCGCGAACGUUGUCCGUAAAAGAGAGGUUUGUGGCAGAAGUUAUCAAUAAAUUUUUUCAUAAUUGUUAUACAAAUAUGAUUCAAAUACAAAAGCACAACCGAAUCAACAUGAAUAAUUCACUUUUGUUUCCUGUAAAUAAUUUUUGUAUUUUGUCAAUAGUAAAAUUAAUUACAUUUUUUCGAGACGAGACGGUACUUCCGUGCUCACCAGAAAGCAAAAAAAAAUCUAAACAAAUCUUACCUUUGUAAAUCUGCUACGAAAAAUUCACACGGGCACACGACACGAUCGCUUUCUUUUCUUUUCGCGGCAACCAAGAUCUAUAGAGAGAAGGUUACCUCAGUAAAACCGGUUGAA